rnacentral:rRNA from 1 species
AUACGGAGGGUCCAAGCGUUAUCCGGAUUCAUUGGGUUUAAAGGGUCCGCAGGCGGGAAAAUAAGUCAGUGGUGAAAGCCUACAGCUCAACUGUAGAACUGCCAUUGAUACUGUUUUUCUUGAGUAUAGAUGUAGUGGGCGGAAUAUAUCAUGUAGCGGUGAAAUGCAUAGAUAUGAUACAGAACACCGAUUGCGAAGGCAGCUCACUAAACUAUUACUGACGCUCAGGGACGAAAGCGUGGGGAGCGAACAGGAUUAGAAACCCUAGUAGUCC